CAGCUCUUCCUUCCCUUUCCCCCCAACUUCCUUCCCCGGGCUCUCAAGGGAGUUUUGGAGGGACAAGAGGGGUAGGAAAAGGAAGCCUCCCUGAAGAGCUCUCCUUUCUCCAGCAAGCCACAACUCCUGCUAACUCACUAGCGGGCCACUACCCUUUCCUGCUGAAGGUCCUGCUCUGCCAUAAUCCCUCUCGCUGAAAGCCGAAGAUGACUCUCCUGGGAGAACAUUAGAAAUAAUCAGGAAUUCAUCUUUUGCUAUGAAUAGUAAAGUUUAGAGCAUGAACAGCUGUGUCUUCAUUUUGCACCUCUACCUUCACCACAACUGCAGUCUUUGACUCGACGUCUAAAACACGUCAUUUACCUACAUCUGUACACUACUGAUAACAAGUCUGACAUCAAACUCCCCAAGCUCACCGUACUAUUUGUUAUUUGCAUGUUGGAGUGUAGAAAGCCACAUACAUGGGCAAAAUUCAUUAUUUCCACCCUAAGUUCAGUCAUUUCACUGGCCUCAUACCUUACUUUUCCCAAAGCAUCUCCUCUGUACACUCACGCACAAGAGUAACACGAGUCCAAGUCCCUCACUGUGGUUACGCUUCAAACAUGGCGAUGCCACAGAGAAGUAGGUUUUUGUUUAUUUUGGCGGUUCUUUUGGGGUUUUUUGUUAUUGUUUUCCUAAGAGAAACUGACUGGGAUCUCUGCUGCUCAAGGACUCUGUCCACAGGCAAUUUACAAAUACAGUAUUUCUAGUGCAAGUCAAUUACCUGAUCAUACAUUACCUACAAAACAGGACAGAGAAUGACUGCUCAGCUUUGACUUCAGAAGGAAGUCAGGAACUUUUGUGAAAAGUACAUGCAGACAACUGCUGAUAAAGUCUGAAAGUAAAAGUUUUCCCCCUUGCCCAUCCACUCCCUCCCUCCCCCCAAGAUCUUGGGUGUUGCAUUUUUAAGACACAAAAUGAAAGCUGAAGAGGCUCUGAGGAGGUCUGCCAGGAAGCAAGGGGACAUGGGAGCACCAACCAGGACUGAGGGGUCAUGCUCGCCCUGUAACCAUGUCCAGGCUAGCUGGAGAGGGAGGAGACCAGCUGCACAACCGAGUCCAUGGUUCACAACAGAAGCCACAUGCAAGAAAAGAACGAGGAGGGAUCCCUGACUUGAUCACAAGCAGUGCUAGGGAGUAACAGAGUUUAAAGCAACAAAAAUGAAUCUGAGGGAUUUAUUCUGCCUAGAUCUAUGAAAAUGCCAACUUAACUAUUAAAAAUAAUUGUGGGUGGGGAGAAACCCACAGAAUCAUGAAGUUUGCCUUCAAAGAGAGCCAUGAAAGUCUACAGGACUGUAGCUUUGAGAAGGUUUGCACUGAAGCUGCCACGGAGCUCACAGGAGUUAAUGACAGCCUUAAAGCACAAGAAAGCCAGGCGGCAGGGGCGCUUUUUUUUUUUUUCUUGGCAAGGCAGGGGAGCUGUCAGAGAUGAGAAGGAUGCCACAGACAACAAGAGAAGAUUCAGCACUUGCUCAGGUCUCAGACUAAAGCAGGCACCGGAGCAUGCAGCCACCACACAGAUGGACUGACACUGCAAGACAGUGAACACCUGUCCAGGGCAGCUUCAUCAGGAAGCACUAGUGUUAAGAAGCAAAAUAAUUUAUUCAGGACCGUAUAUGAUCUCUCCAACUUCUACAGGAAGGAGUUAUGUAGUCACUCCAUUAUUUCAGACUGUUUUAUUAGCCCCAUACUCAGAUGUCCAUGUUUUGACUAAUUUAAGUUAUUAUUACAGUCAAGAUUGUGCACCGCUAUGGGGGUCAUUAGAGCAAACCCUUUGCCAGGAUUCAGCAGGACCACAUAGCAUAUAACCACUACAGAAAUUUUUUUCAAGUGUUCUCAUUACAAAAGAAAGGCAGCAGCAAGAUACUGGAACUCAAAAAAAGCACACAGGUCUGGUGUACUGUCAACACAAACAAAAACUCAGCAUCUAGAGACAGACUCUCUAAAUUUUAGAGUUACAACAAGGGUAGGUUAUAAACAGCAGUGCACCUGAAUCAAAACUUAAGUGUUUUAACAUAAUCACAGAGCUAAUAAAAUCCUUAAGAUACACCUAUUAGGAAAGAAUAUACUAGAGAGUCAAACUUCAAAGAGGAAAAGGUUGCAGAUGUUAAAUCUAAAGUGCAUUGAUGCUCAUUAGAAGCAUCUUACAGCUAAAAGCUUAUCCCUGCGUCUCUGUGCUCACAUCCUAGGAACCAAAGAUCCUUUCCACCAGACAGCACUCCAUGGCAUCCUUUCAGAAUAGUCAAUUUAUUCGUGUCUCAGUGUUAUGUCAGAUUUGCUAUGCUUUCUGUCCUGCUCUGCAUUCAUAGUGCCUGCACAGCAUAAUGCAACUCCCACAUUAACAGCAUGUAUACAUAAAAAGCAUCUCAUCACUUUACCUAUGGCUUAUACACUGAUGGGGAGGGUUGUGGGAAAAAUAAAUAAAUAAAUAAAAAUCACAUGUUGACAACCCAAGUCCAGAAGCAGUGUGUUUUGUCAGAGCAAAUGCUGCUCUGUGAGGUGGUGCAGCAAUGUCACCAGAUUUUUUUCCCUGUUGCCAUAUUUCUCCACUAGAGGACUCACCUGAGAAGUCUACUACAGCUUCCGCAGUUAAGCCAAGUCAAAAAAAAAAAAAGCCAACCCUGACAUGUGGAUGGUACAUGUAAAAUGAAUGGAAAUGUACUAGUAUAUGCGGCACAUGUAAUACAUGAAAACAUGCUCCCGUAACUACAAAAGAAACACAGCAAUGCUAUUUAGCUUCCUGCUAGUCUAUGACAAAUAUACAUGAUCAUUUAAAUGAAGGUUAAAUGCAAGAGCAAGCAUGUCCACACUGGGUCAGAUCACAAGGGUUACAGCCUAGCAGACGUGCUGCUACAUUCCAAGACCAGCACUGCAUAUUAAGCUGGAAAGUAGCAGAUAAACAAAGGCUAUAGAAGGUACUAGAGAAGGGCCAGUAUCAACUAUUAUUUUCCAAAUAAAGGGUCCCACCUACACAGAGAUGUUUCUAUUUUAUUAUUAUUUUUACGCACAAGUACGCGCACACCCCCCCACUGAUUAAGCCCUUGUAAAAUAGAAAGAGCAUCAUAUAACCUCACUCACGCCACGGCUUAUCAUCACGCCGCCAAAAACAGCGGCAACGGCUAGCAACCCUUCCCGUGGGUGAUACGGCCAGCCGUAUCAGCAGAGCUCAACUGGUGUUAGCAACGGCAGGGGAAGAAAGUAAUUAAAGAAUAUAUAUUCUUGCGACUUCCCUGGUAGAGAGGGGGGCCUGCAAGGCAGGGGAGCUGGCACCCCGGGAGGGAGAGGAAGCUUGCCGAAGCCAGUCCUUGCUUUCCCCUGCCAGGGCUCACCCCAAGGCCUCCCAGAGGCGAGGGGACCUAGACUGGUGGUUGCUGCGACCUAGCAAGGUACCCAGCCAAGACACAGCAGGUGCUGGGGAGGGGGGUGUGGGGUGGAGUGUGAAGCACAUGGCGAUGCAAAGCGCUGGUGCUGCGGAGGAAGAGAGGCACCAAUGUACAGGGGCAAGGAAAGGGCUAAGUUCACUUGCACCAGGCAAGGGGUGGGGAAGGGGUGGCGGGGGGCGGUAAGAAAAGGAAAAACGCAUCUAUUUCGCUAAGUGUGGGAUCUGCUUACCUGCGGAACGAAGGGGAGUGGGGGGAGGGGGGGGGGAGUGGAGGGGACUGCGGCUCCAGGGGAGCAACUAAGCAAACUCUCCAAAGGAGCAGAGGAGGGAAAGAAAGAAAGAAAAAAAGAAAAAGAAACGAGUAAGGGGAGAGACGGCAGAGAGAGGCACGGGGGAGAGCCUGAAGCACGCUGCGCAACCCCGCUGCCCGGCGCGGCGGGGAGGGCGGGCAGGGCUCGCCCCCAGGGGAAGGGGCCGGCCGGGGCGUGCGGCGGCCAGCACACGGCGAGGGGAAAGCGAGGAGGGGGCACCAAAGGCUGAAGCACAUCCGACACCGGCGGCCAGCCGGAGCUGUGAUGGGAGCCUACAGCCACCUGCAUCCACCAAAGAGGGGUGUUGGGAGAGCCUGGUGUACGUCAGUACGGUGUUGGCUGCCCCGCGCUUAUUUCUUGUUCUGAGCAGGUGCCUGGUCAGUUCCAGAGGAAAUCCAGGGAGUUUGUAAGUGAUGGUGGUGCCCAAUGGAGGUGAGAAUGCCCGGGCAUCCCUGUCGUACACACACACCAUCGGACUGCCAUUCCCACCCCCCUGGUGCUCCCUGCCAGUGGUGGCAGCAGUCACAUGGAAGCCACACUGGUCUCUUCCCACAACAUGAAACCCCUACGCCCUGCAGCUCUACCAACGCUCUACCUGCUUAAAACGCUCCUCUGCCAGAAGGAAGGAAACACGUUCAAUCCCUGUUCAUGAAGUCUUUCUCACCCAGAACUUUAUGCAAAUCCCCAAGUCUAUAUACUGAAAUAUCUAGUGCUGCUUUCAAAUGCCAAUAUUUGAUUCUCAGUUGGAUAUACAUUUAUAUUCACUGUUCAUACUCACUGCUAACCACAUUCCACAUGCAAGCCCCGCGAAUACAAUGUGUAUGUGGCCAACAAACCCUCUCCCCUCUUUUUUGUGAAUCCCACCCACACCCGUGCUUCCACGCUGCAUCUCAAGACCCCGCAAACAUAAG